CCCCGCUUCUCCUUUUGAGCCAUUGUGCUUAACUGAAUUUUAUAAAGCUGAUCGAUAUCUUGGUAAAAUAUUCAUUUUUAAACUAGCGGCCAGCGAAAUCUUUGCUUUGUGCUAAAGUCAACAGCCGCCCGCUUGCGGCUCCCAUAAAUGCGGGGAUGCUCCCGGCUCCCGCAGAGCGGGCGCGGCGGCGCGGGGCGCAGAAACUAAUCACGCUCUGAUAAAGCCAUCUGCAAAUAUGAGAAAGAUUGACAUCCACAUGUCAAAGUUUACACAGCCUGACCAAGUGUACAUAUAGUGCGGGCGCCGCGUGGCCCCGCUGUGCUGAUCUGCCUGGCCUGUACUGGUGCAGGAGCGCAGCACCAGCACCACCAGCAUCCAGGAGCUCCAGAGCCAGCAGAAGACCCCGCUGACAGCCAGGUGACCCUGCAUGGCAUGGGAAGGGAUUCCUACUGCUGCACCAGGUGAUGCUGCCCAGAGCAUCCUUCUGUCGCCAGGAUACAGGACUCACAGCCUUCAUACCUCCAUUGCUUUCCUAGUGAAGUGCUUUGAUUUUGGAUCAUCCGACAAGGAAACCCUACCAUUUUCCUCAGCCUGUGGUUUCCUGGAGCGUCAGGGUCUGUUGUGCCUUGCAGGCAUAGCCCUUGGGAUGGGGAUACAACGGGGACAGGCUGCGUGCCACGGGGAUGGGAUGGGCACGGCAGAAAUGGGCUGGGUACUGCAGGGAUGGGGACUGCAGGGAUGGAUAUCACAGGGCUGGGCUUGGUAUAUCAGGGAUAGAAUGGCUUCUUCAUGGAUGGACUGGGUACUGCAGCGAUGGACGUUGGGGUGGGUGCUGGGAUAAUGCACACCCUUGCAUCCAUGGGGCUAUGUGAGGUGAAGUCACGUCCCCAGAGGCUACUCCCAGCCAGGAAUGGAGCCAAGGGUUAGGGGAUGCUUUUGUGCCGUGGGUUGCAGUUUUCUGCACUUUCUUCCAUAGUGAGAGCAAAAAGAAAUUGAAAAAAGCUUCAAGGUGAGGACGGGCAAAAUACUGGGUCACAAGAGUUUUUUCUCCCACUGAAGAGUGAUCAGCACUCAGUGCAAACUGCGGAGUUUUGUUUGGCUCUGGGUCUCCAAACAAGGCUUUUGUUGACUCCUAAACAAGGCCAGUGCCCAAGAUUUGGAGCCGGCUGCGGCGGCUGGCACCCAGGCCCUGAAAUUCCAAACAGAGAAGAAGAAAAUAAAUCACCGAUGUUUUACUUAAUUGCAUCACUAAAGAAAGGAUUUACAUGGAAUUUAAUGAACUUCUCUUAAUCACAUCCAACACCCUUCCUGCACUGGACAUUUGCCUCGUGAGCAAGGCAAGGCUCCAACUUGGAAAGGGAGCGGGAUGUGAUAGAAAUGGGUAAAAGCUGACAGCCGCAGGGCUCCGGUUCAGUCCUCACCCAACUGAGCUCUGCCCUGUGUCUUGGUGCUGGGUCCCCACUGUGCUGUGUCCUCUGUCUUGGUGCUGGGGUGCCACGGGCUCUGUCCUGCUGUUUUGUAUGGCUAGCUGUCCUUCUUGCUCUUAAUGGUGGUCUCUAUCACAGCCUUGGUGGUUGGGUUGCGCAUCUCCAACAGGUGACUUGCAACUGUCCUCUGCUCACUGCACCAUGCCUCAAUUUCCCCAGCUAUCCCACUAGGAAACAACAGGGCACGUGAUUGAGACUCCCUCCAGCACAUCCAUCUGCCUCCCACACCGGGAGAUGGCUUUGGCCUUUGCUCCAUCUCUGUACCAGCAGCCCAGCUGCUUUCUCAGAUAGAAGUGAAGUCAGAACUCACACCCCCAUGCUCCUGUCCCCUGCACUGGCAUGGAUCCCACUCCAAAGGGACCGUGCUUGGGCAGAAAAGGUGACUCCAGAGCUGGCAUUGACAAAAUAGAUGAGUACAGACCCAGGCUGGAGUUUGACAGAGGCUGCGGUGCAGGUCCAUCCGUGCAAGCAUUAGGUGUUUAAGGAUACUUGUUUGAAAGCACAUCAGCAUCAAUCAUUGUCUGCCGCUACUUGAAAAACAAGGCUGAUAGACUAGCAGCUAGCAAAGCUUUCUGCCUGCCUCCGAAGCAUGCUGCAAUUCAAUUAGUCAUGGUCAGAGGGUGGCAUUAUUAUUCAUACAUUACUGAUUGUUCCCAAAGUAAACAGCGCUAGGAUGGGGUCUGUGAUCCUCUCUGUGCCCUCAGCCAGGACACAAAGGGAAAUGCGAUGCAGACCCCGGGGUGGGACAUUGUUUGCAAACUUCACAGUCAGAUCUCGCCGUUUUUCAUAGCCCUCACUGAUAAGUGUCGGUUUAUGCAUACAAAAAAGCCGAGAUAUUUUACCCCAGUCAAUUCCACGAUUUUUUUUUUUUUUUAGCACUGAUAACUUUUCUUUUUUUUUCAAGCCAUAUGCUAAUUUUAGAUAGGAUGGAUAGCUUAAACUAUGCAAAUACAAACCCUGCCACCGCAGAAUAUAAUAAUGAUCGACAGCUUAGCAAUUAGCAGUAAAUAACCACACCAUGCAACGCAGCAAUAUCAUUUGCAUGCUCGCAAAAUAGUAACCCAGAGCCGUAAUGGACUACAAAGCCAUCUGUUUAUCAGCGUUACAGCAGCAAAAGCCAAAAUACACACAGCACAAAAAGUGACCCGAGUGCUCGGGACCAAUGCCUGCCCUUGGUGGCUCUUGGUGCAGGUGGGUACCACGCUCCAGUGCAGAGAAGGGAUGGAGGGUGAGCGCCCUCCGAGUGAAACCUCAUGGCGAGGAACAGCAGAAAAAAAAAAAGGGUUACGUCUCAUAUCUGUGUAUGCAGAUUAUAAAAACACACAGAAAAUCAUUGCUCCCCCUGGAUAUAGCUGCCAGCCCCUCCCGCCCCACUGCUUGCCCCGCUGCGUACCUCCCGCACCCGCUCCAGUGUGGGUGCAGCCGUGCCUCCCUCCCACCGCCAGCUAAUGUAUUUGCACAAAACUUGAAGGAGUGCAAUUGACGUGAGAGCCCUACUGCCUCCAAAGUUAUUACAGUGACUGAUGGACAGGCACGGUGCGAAUCAGCAUAUUUGCUCCAUUUCCUCGGGGAAAUGGACUCGCUACAAUAAAAAUGUGCUCUUUCAUAACUGCUGCCCUGCUCACUUGGCUAAAUUUGAACGCGAGGGCGGAGGAUUGCUCUGGGCAAGGAGGAGGGAGAAGACGAGCUCACUGCUGAGGCAAAUUGAGUUAAGAAGUGGUGGUUGUAGGCAAAUACCUCCGACAGCGGCACUAUUGAUGUGGCUGCAGAAUUUCUGAGAGCCUAUGCACACAGUAAAACCCCACCCCGAUGAGAACCACCACCUGAUACUCUAACCAGCGACCAUUUUUCCUCACUGUUUUUUUUUUUUUUGUGUGUGUGCUUUUUGUUUUUUUGUUUUUCCAUAAAAGGGAGGUCAUCUUUGCCUUCUCAUUGGUAUUCUCCCCCAACCCCAUUCCUCUUCCACAGGACCGGCCCCAACGUAGAGAGGGACAGACAGAAAACAUCGCGAAAUGACAAAUGCCAUGUUUCGUGUCAGUCAUCGGAGGCAUUCUGCAUAGCGUUUCUGUUCUGUCCUGCUGAUGGCUUGAUUUAGUGCUGCAGUCGCUUGUUGGGUUGACAUGACAACUGGGGGACACGUCGUAAAUAUCCCAGGAGCGGAUGGGAGCUUUGUGCCGCAUGUGCUGAACCCGCCGCCCAGGUGGCAGCCCAGCGGGCUUCGCCCUGGUUUGUUUGGAAGAGAAAGAAAGAAGAAAGGAAGGCAACAACAACAAGAAAGUACAUAUGGUUUCUUUUUAAGAAAAAGAAAGAAAGAGAAAGGAAUCUUCAUUUUCUUUUGGUUGACUUGAUAAGUCUUUGUGGGAUCACUCGCGGCCAUUAGGACCCGGUUGGCUGCCAUCCAUCUAUCCAUCCAUCCAUCCAUCCAUCCAUCCAUCCAUCCAUCCAUCCAUCCAUUCACCAUUGGCUUUCUCAGAGGUUUGGAGGUAUUUAUUGCUCACAAGGCUGAGCUGCCAUGGAAGAGAAGCCAAGGUUUUUGCUGAGGAGGAGACCUGACAUGGAGAUAGGCUUUCAAUCUGUCGAGGAGGAGCUGGAAGAGUGUCAGGAGUGGUUUUGAUCUGCCUCUGCCCGAUUGCACAGCAUGUGGACAGCCUGGCAGCACCUGGGCUCACAGGUUGGAAAUGAGCUGGGAACAUUCCUCUUUCUGUGGGAUGCAGCUUCCCAGUGAGAGAAGUCUGGAGCUGUCAUAGCAGCAGGGUUUCAUUUUUUUCCUGCAGCUCUGCUGCUUUUUCAGGAUAGAAAAGAGCAGUUCAUGCUUGGAGAAAUGCCUCCAUCAGUGUUUUCAAAAUGAUAUACUCAGUUUAGCCAUUUAAAGCCAGUUUAGCCACUUAAAGCCCUUUCCGAAUCUAGCUUCCAUUUGGGGUGAUAUUUUCAUCCUGUUAUGUUUUGUUAGAGUUUAUAAAGAAGCGCUCACACACACAUACACACACACACACACACACACACACAAACACACGUUCAGUUUUGUUUCAGAUUGAAAUGAGACAUUACUGAAACAAAGGCAAAGUUUCCUCUCGUCUCCCUCCAUUGUCCACUCGUCAUUGUUUUCUGCUAUUAUAUGCAGUAAGACAAAUGAUGGGGGAAAGCUCCUUCCCACUUUCUCCUUUUCUUUUUUUUCCUUUGUAAUUUUGAAAAAGCCUCCAACUUGAAAGGAAGAUGAGCCAGAGCAGUAAGAGAACAAAACCCAUCAGCAACUCCAUCACUGGGAUUUGAAAAUGUUUAAAUGCACCAGGGUUACAAGAGAACAAUCUCUGUCACUUCCAAAGGUUUCCUUAGCUGGAGGAACUGAGGAAAGGAAGAGAAGCAAAGCAAAAGAAGAAGAAAGGAAAAUAAUGAAAAUGCCCAAAACAAAGCAUCAAAUACAAAAAGAAAAAAAAAAGAAAAAAAAAGAAAAAAAAAAGAAAGAAAAUCUAGCAACCAAAUUUAGAUGUUUGAUACGUGAGCAAAAUUCGUUCAAGAAAGCCUUCUCCCCUGCUUUGCUGGAGCUGGGAUGAUGCCAGGACUCUUUCCCAGUCCACAGGGGCCCCAUGCACACAUCCCCACACAAUCCAGGCUGCUGUUACCAGUAGUCUUUACCUGGCCCAAAGCCUAACAGUUGGGCGACCUUGAUGGAAUCUGAGAGCUGCACAGAUUCACCAGGAGCCAUACAAGGACAUCAUUGUCACCUCUACCUAACAUCCCCCUACACCAAGCCCUGUCCAUCAGCAGAACACCUCAUCCUGCCCCCAUCCAGGGCAGAAAGCAUCACCUCUUUGCAUGAGGGUGAGAAAUCCCAGAGGGGACACCGAAGUCCUUUGGGGCUGCCAUCGCCAUCCCCAUCCCGGCACCCGGCAGCUGAGCGGAUCAACGGUCCUUUAGAGCAAAAAUCAUAAAUCAAACAAUAGCAGUCCUUCCUCGCCUUCCCUGACGCUGGGAGAAAUGUCUUGAUUAGCUUUUGUUUGCUUGUUUGCUUGGGCUUGUUUGUUUGUCAAUGCGUGUUGUGUAUCCGUGGGCGUGCGUUGGCUUUAUUGACCGAACGUGGAGCUGAAGCGUAAGCGGGGUUACGCAGCGGCAGCGUAGGGGAGAGGAGAAGGCUGGAUUGAUGGAGAUGGCAUUUACAUUCCCCACUCAAUCUGCAUCGGGGAGGAGGGUCACUGCGAUAUGAGUUUUGACUGAGAUGUACUUUGUGGAAGCAGAUGACUAGCGGAGGGAAAUCCUUCAGCCGAGCCUCCCAAAUACCUUCAGCCCUACAAAAGCCCCCAGAUGCUUUCCUCUUCCUGGCCAGGACCUCCACACACUGACCAGGGACUGGUGGUGAGGAGGGGUGCUUUGGGUGUGCAUUGCCGUCCCUGCGUCGUUCGGAUGGUUUGGGCAGGGAGGCAGAGAUAAAAGCAGGACAAGUCAGAGCUCCUCCGUACAGAUUUGUCCCGAUUUACACCAGCUGAGCACUCGUUCAACCAACAUGAAAUAACUCCUGUCUACAAAUAUCAGCCGUGGGGAUCGGACCCAGUGCAAACUGGCAACAUCUGCAGCUGCCGCCAGACAGACAGACAGAUAGCCCGACGUGAAUUAUUUAACACAAAGUGCCAUGACCUCUAUUAACAAAGGGAGAUGCUUCCAGACCUGCGGGCAGCACCAUGGGAAGCAGCUGGAUCCAAAUCAAUCUAAUUGAAGACGGGCCUGAAUUUAUUAUACGAGCCCUGUUGAGGACGCUGAGGGGGAAUAGAUGCCAAUGCAGCGUUCUCCUUUUAGCUCAGCUGGAAAGAUCACAGCUGCAAAUUGUGAUUAAGCAAAAAAUCAGGUCUGAGCCUCCCCCGCCCAGGCAGCAGCACACGGAUGCUAGGAGGGGGGGUUUCUUAGCACUGAGCAUUUUCAGAAAAUAAAAUUAUCUUGAAGUUUCCCGAGUUUUUUCUUUCUUUCUUUCUUUCUUUUCCCUUCCCCUUCCUCUAUAAUCAAAAGAAAGAACUGAAAGAAACGUGCACUUCAAGGCUUUAAAUCUGAAACUUCCUAAUCCCCUGAAGUCCACACUAGACUUCUUGCCUCCAUGGAAACCCCAAAGCAUUCAUCCAAGUGAUUGGCCUCCAAUGAAUUUUAGAUAAGACAGAAUGGAACAGAAUUGAUGUGAUUUUAAUGCAGAAGAAAGCGGUGGAAGGGAGGUCCACUUGGUUCAUAUUUGAAUAAAGCAAACAUGACAGACAAAAGGCUGACAGCUGUAAAUGACAUUGUCAGUACAAAAAUUAUCAGCCAGUUUACAAUCUGUUUGCUUAUGUUGAACAAACAGAAUGUGUGUGGCAUCCCUUGGCUUCAUGAAUGGCAGAAAUACUUGCAGGCUCCGGAGAGAGGCAGAUAUCUGUUCCCUCCCAGCCCUCCCACUAGAAGAUAUCCAUUUGACAGCCACACUGAAAAGGAAAAUUCUCUCCUUUUUUCCUCCUCUCUCCCUUCUGCUUUUUCAAUUUCUUU
rnacentral:lncRNA from 1 species